rnacentral:rRNA from 1 species
UACGUAGGGGGGCAAGCGUUGUCCGGAAUCAUUGGGCGUAAAGAGCGUGUAGGCGGCUUGGUAAGUCCGCUGUGAAAGUCCAGGGCUCAACCCUGGAAUGCCGGUGGAAACUGUCAAGCUUGAGUCCGGAAGAGGCGAGUGGAAUUCCUGGUGUAGCGGUGAAAUGCGCAGAUAUCAGGAGGAACACCAAUGGCGAAGGCAGCUCGCUGGGACGGUACUGACGCUGAGACGCGAAAGCGUGGGGAGCAAACAGG